AACGAACGCUGGCGGCAGGCCUAACACAUGCAAGUCGAACGCUCGUAGCAAUACGGGAGUGGCAGACGGGUGCGUAACGCGUGGGAACAUACCCUUUGGUUCGGAAUAACUCAGGGAAACUUGAGCUAAUACCGGAUACGCCCGAGAGGGGAAAGAUUUAUUGCCGAAGGAUUGGCCCGCGUCUGAUUAGCUAGUUGGUGAGGUAACGGCUCACCAAGGCGACGAUCAGUAGCUGGUCUGAGAGGAUGAUCAGCCACACUGGGACUGAGACACGGCCCAGACUCCUACGGGAGGCAGCAGUGGGGAAUAUUGGACAAUGGGCGCAAGCCUGAUCCAGCCAUGCCGCGUGAGUGAUGACGGCCUUAGGGUUGUAAAGCUCUUUUACCCGGGAAGAUAAUGACGGUACCGGGAGAAUAAGCCCCGGCUAACUUCGUGCCAGCAGCCGCGGUAA
rnacentral:rRNA from 1 species